rnacentral:lncRNA from 1 species
UCUCCAUCCACAAGCCUGGAUCAAGAUGCAAUAGAAAAUUCCAGGGGAAGGCGGAAAGUCAUGGCUGGAAAACCAAAGGAAAGGGCAAAAAAAUAUUUCUAUUUCCCCCAAAAUGCCACAGAGGAGGAGAAAAACUUGGGAAAAACCCUCAUUUUUCCCAAUAUAAUAAUAUUUUCCCAAAUAUUAUAAUAUAAUAAUAUUUUCCCAAAUAUUCAUAUUUUCCCAAUAUGAAAUAUUCCAACCCUCGUUCCCGAAGGACAUCCCGCUGAAGUGGGAUGGGGAAGGGUUGGGAGAUCCAGCAAAGCCCCAAUUCCAGGGAUUUGUCUUUUUCCAAGGUCAUUCCCGAGAAGAAAAUGGGAUUUCCAUGGAAUUGAACCAAAAAUCAGCUCGGAUGUGACAUGAAUCGACUUCCUGGGAAUUUCUCCCUCUCCAGGAUGAGCAGAAGAAAUCCCAUAAGAACUCCUCAAAUCCAGGAAUUUAUUCCAGCUCUUUCCCACCUUCUCCAUCCUCAAAACCAUCUGGAAUACAAAAACCAGGGCUUGGGAAUGGCUGGAAAAAUCCCGGAUUUAUUCCGACUUCAGGAUGAUGAAGCGGCUCCUCCCGGCAGGAGAAAGGGACAGACAAGGAGAAAGGAAGACAGAUCCGAGGGAAGGAGGGAGGGGGAGCGAGCACGAGCCGCGGUUAUUUAUAGGAGCUGCGUUUGUGCCGGAGGAGGGAGCGCUGCCAAAAAGGGAUGGGAAAAAUAAUCCCAGAGCCAGGUGCCGCCGCCUCGGGAAGAGCCGGGGGGGAGCUCAAGGGAAUGGGAGGAAACUGGGAGCAGCUGGACACCGAAGGGACUCAAACCUUGUCCUCAAACUCCUUGAGGAAUUCCAAUGUCCACGGUGGGGAUUGAUGGAUCCGCCGGCAUCCGGACGGGAUGAGCGAUGCAGGACCAACCAGUGGCUCCCAACCCUUGGGAAUUCAUCAAGGAAAUCUGGGAAUUGCCCCACAAACUCUUGGAGCCCGUAAUCAAAAAAAUGAAACACUGAUGGCUUUGCUGCGUAAACCAAGAAAACUGGGAUUGGGAAUGGGGAGAGGGAAAUGAUCCCACAAUUAUUUUGUUUCCCUGUUUUUUUCCCAGAAAACAGCACCAAGAAAGCCAGGAGAGGAGCGACGCCUUCCAGCCACAUUCCAGACUCAUCCAAGGACCGGCGGCUCCGUCUCCCGCAGGAGAAGGGCGAGGGGGGUUUAUUUUAAAUCCUUUUCCUGCCCUAAUCCAUGUGACGCCAAUCAGGGAUCCGGCCCCUCGGGAAUCAAUGAUUAAUGGAGUUAAAUUUAGCGGGAGCUUGCCGGAGUAAAAUUAGGCGCCAUGCAUAAAACAUCACAGCUCCUCGUUAGCACGGCUAAUUACGCUAAUGGGGGGCGCUCACGCGGGCCUGGAAUUAGGGAUGGACCUCCCGACCUCCUCCCAGCUGCCCAAAUCCAUGGUGGAGCUGG